rnacentral:rRNA from 1 species
UACGUAGGUGGCAAGCGUUGUCCGGAUUUACUGGGCGUAAAGAGCGCGCAGGCGGUCGUGCAAGUCGCGUGUGAAAGCCCCCGGCUCAACUGGGGAGGGUCACGCGAUACUGCUCGACUCGAAGGCAGGAGAGGGAAGUGGAAUUCCCGGUGUAGUGGUGAAAUGCGCAGAUAUCAGGAAGAACACCCGUGGCGAAGGCGGCUCUCUGGAACGCAACUGACGCUGAGACGCGAAAGCGUGGGGAGCAAACGGG